rnacentral:tmRNA from 1 species
CCCCUUGCACUCCCCCCCUGUUAAUCCCUAUAUUACCAGUGCUGGCUUGCCAGCUAUGGCGAUAAACGUCUGACGGAAUAAGCGUUGCGGACCCGGGGGCGGUACCCGGCGCCUCCACCAAUUCCUUCUCUCCCGUUUUUGCGGGAGGGAAUUAGCGGGGGCGAAAUAGGAUCGACGUGCGUAGUAAAGGUCAGGUUUUUGCUCGGUGAGGCACCACCGUUAUCGGUCCACAAAGCAAUAGUUGCCAAUGAUAACUAUGCUCCGGCUCGUCUCGCUGCUUAAUGCAGUCGGAUGAACCGAUUUCUAUAGUCCUCGGGAUUUAGCAUCUCGGGGCGGGGUUCGGGAGGCGCCUGGCAACAGAAGCCUCCCACU